AUGACUAAAGGUGUGGGGAAAAACGGUGUCGUUUUAAGAGCAUUAUGGUUAAGGAGUUAUCAUUUGACCUCCUUCCAACACACUUCUUCCUCAACUUCAAACGGUGGUGCGUCUUCUCCGGUGUUCAUUGGCGAGCUACCGCUGUCUCCAUCUCUUAUCCAUCGCGGCUUCGUCAUCUUCAAUUCAAACUCGGUGUUUCCGUCAACAUCUCCAACUUCUCGCUCCCGCUGCUAUAGCAAACUCCAAUCAUCAUCUUCGUUUGUUUUCUCUCGAUGCUCAUCUCCAAUUCGCCUUCGCUCAAAGUCGCUGUCUCAACAGUCACCAUUGCCUCUCCGUCCACUUGUGAUUUUGCGCUUCAGUCGUGUAUCAACUUCGCGUGCUUUAUUCUUCUCAAGAUCACCGAAUCAAGUUCGUUCAACACUAACAACCUAA